GGUGAAGAACGCAGCGAAAUGCGAUACUUGGUGUGAAUUGCAGAAUCCCGUGAACCAUCGAGUCUUUGAACGCAAGUUGCGCCCGAAGCCAUCAGGUUGAGGGCACGUCUGCCUGGGCGUCACAUAUCGUUGCCCAAUGCCUAUUGCAGUGCAAUAGGAAUUUCUAGGGCGAAUGAUGGCUUCCCGUGAGCGUUGUUGCCUCGCGGUUGGUUGAAAAUCGAGUCCUUGGUAGGGUGUGCCAUGGUAGAUGGUGGUCGAGUUAGAACGAUACCGAUCAUGUGCAUGCUCCCCAAAAUAUGGCCUCUAUGACCCACACGCGUCUUUUGACGCUCAUGACGAGACCUCAGGUCAGGCGGGGCUACCCGCUGAAUUUAAGCAUAUCAAUAAGCGGAGGA
rnacentral:misc_RNA from 1 species